ACGGAGGGUGCAAGCGUUAUCCGGAAUCACUGGGUUUAAAGGGUGCGUAGGCGGCUGUAUAAGUCAGUGGUGAAAGGCUGUGGCUUAACCAUGGGAUUGCCAUUGAUACUGUACGGCUUGAAUUGGGUUGAGGUUGGCGGAAUGUGACAUGUAGCGGUGAAAUGCUUAGAUAUGUCAUGGAACAUCGAUUGCGAAGGCAGCUGACUGGACCUUGAUUGACGCUGAGGCACGAAAGCGUGGGGAGCGAACAGGAUUAGAUACCCUGGUAGUCCACGCCCUAAACGAUGCUUACUCGUUGUUUGUCCUUCGGGAUGAGUGACUAAGAGAAAUCGAUAAGUAAGCCACCUGGGGAGUACGACCGCAAGGUUG
rnacentral:rRNA from 1 species